rnacentral:rRNA from 1 species
UACGUAGGGGGCAAGCGUUAUCCGGAUUUACUGGGUGUAAAGGGAGCGUAGGCGGUUCAGCAAGUCAGAAGUGAAAGCCCGGGGCUCAACUCCGGGACUGCUUUUGAAACUGUUGAACUAGAUUGCAGGAGAGGUAAGUGGAAUUCCUAGUGUAGCGGUGAAAUGCGUAGAUAUUAGGAGGAACACCAGUGGCGAAGGCGGCUUACUGGACUGUAACUGACGUUGAGGCUCGAAAGCGUGGGGAGCAA